rnacentral:rRNA from 1 species
CGCCUGUUUAUCAAAAACAUAGCACUGUGCAAAAUCGCAAGAUGACGUAUACGGUGUGACGCCUGCCCGGUGCCGGAAGGUUAAUUGAUUGGGUUAUCUUCGGAGAAGCUCAUGAUCGAAGCCCCGGUAAACGGCGGCCGUAACUAUAACAGUCCUAAGGUAGCGAAAUUCCUUGUCGGGUAAGUUCCGACCUGCACGAAUGGCGUAAUGAUGGCCACGCUGUCUCCCGCCGAGACUCAGUGAAGUUGAAAUUGCGGUGAAGAUGCCGUAUACCCGCGGCUAGACGGAAAGACCCCGUGAACCUUUACUAUAGCUUGGCACUGAACAUUGAACCUACAUGUGUAGGAUAGGUGGGAGACUUUGAAGCUUGGACGCUAGUCUGAGUGGAGUCAAUCUUGAAAUACCACCCUUGUAGUUUUGAUGUUCUAACUCUGGCCCCUUAUCGGGGUUGAGGACAGUGCCUGGUGGGUAGUUUGACUGGGGCGGUCUCCUCCCAAAGAGUAACGGAGGAGCACGAAGGUUGGCUAAGUACGGUCGGACAUCGUACGGUUAGUGCAAUGGCAUAAGCCAGCUUAACUGCGAGACAUACACGUCGAACAGGUACGAAAGUAGGUCAUAGUGAUCCGGUGGUUCUGAAUGGAAGGGCCAUCGCUCAACGGAUAAAAGGUACUCCGGGGAUAACAGGCUGAUACCGCCCAAGAGUUCAUAUCGACGGCGGUGUUUGGCACCUCGAUGUCGGCUCAUCACAUCCUGGGGCUGAAGUCGGUCCCAAGGGUAUGGCUGUUCGCCAUUUAAAGUGGUACGUGAUCUGAGUUCAGACCGG